rnacentral:rRNA from 1 species
AUCGGUGCUUGCACUGAUCCGAUCGAGUGGCGGACGGGUGAGUAACGCGUGGGUAACCUGCCUCAUACAGGGGAAUAACAGUUGGAAACGGCUGCUAAAACCGCAUAAGCGCACAGUACCGCAUGGUACGGUGUGAAAAACUCCGGUGGUGUGAGAUGGACCCGCGUCUGAUUAGCUAGUUGGCAGGGCAACGGCCUACCAAGGCGACGAUCAGUAGCCGGCCUGAGAGGGUGAACGGCCACAUUGGGACUGGAGACACGGCCCAAACUCC